rnacentral:lncRNA from 1 species
AUGGGGAAUCCCACCCACGGAGGCCGGAAAGCGCCCGGAUCCCCGCUGUAUCCCAAUAGGGCCGUAAGCCAGCACAACCCCAAAACGGGGAGGAAAACAGAGAGGCUCCAGAGCCCCGCAGCCCCUCAGGGUGCGGACGAGGACCUCCCCCGCCCCAUGCCGGGCGUUGGGCCCAGGCCGCGCUCAGCUCAGCUCGGCUCAGCUCAGUCACCUCACGGCCUGCCGCCCCGCUCGACCUUCCUCCCACUUCGAGCCUUCCCGCGCUCCCGCCCGCGCCGAGGCCGGCCCCGCUCCGUCAGCGCGCCGUCAGGACACGGGGCGGGGCUGCGAGCGGCGGGGGCCGGGCCGGGCCGGCAGACAGCGGGAUGGCGGCGGCGGGCGAGGCUGGGACCGCUCGAAAGCGGCUGGGAUCCGGCAGGUGACGGGGCCGCUUCCUCACGGCUGCCGGGCGGCAGCGGCAGGCUCGUGGCUGUUGGAAUGAUGCAGCAGGAAAAGCCCUGGGCUCGUGUUACGCACCGUCAUUCAUGCCCCGGCACAACGCCAUCGCUGGGCUGCAGCAGCUUCAGCAAGGUUUGAAUCCAGCACAGAGAGCCAAAUUGCAUCUCGGUGUAAUGCUGCUGGCCCUUGUGCACAAGUCAUCUUGGUCCCGUGCCCAAAAGGAGGGCAAAUGUGAAGGGAAAAUAGGAGAAUAUUGUACUGGAGAAGACAGACUGAAAG